CAAUAGCGUAUAUUUAAGUUGUUGCAGUUAAAAAGCUCGUAGUUGGAUUUCGGAUGGGAUUUGCCGGUCCGUCGUUACGAUGUGCACUGGCCAGUCCUAUCUUGUUGUCGGGGACUAGCUCCUUGGAUUCACUUCCUGGGACUAGGAGCUGACGAGGUUACUUUGAGUAAAUUAGAGUGUUCAAAGCAAGCCUACGCUCUGAAUACAUUAGCGUGGAAUAACACGAUAGGACUCUGGCUUAUCUUGUUGGUCUGUGAGACCAGAGUAAUGAUUAAGAGGGACAGUCGGGGACAUUCGUAUUUCAUUGUCAGAGGUGAAAUUCUUGGAUUUAUGAAAGACGAACUUCUGCGAAAGCAUUUGUCAAGGAUGUUUUCAUUAA
rnacentral:rRNA from 1 species